rfam:Salmo salar isolate Sally breed double haploid chromosome ssa22, whole genome shotgun sequence.
UCCCGUAUGUCUCAGUUGGUAGAGCAUGGUGUUUGCAACGCCAGGGUUGUGGGUUCGAUUCCCACAGGGGAC